CCGUAUAUUAAAGUUGUUGCAGUUAAGAGCUCGUAGUUGAAUUUCUGCUUAUCAUUAAUUUCGCUUCCGAACGUAAUUUUAUUGACUUGGCAUCUUCUGGAUUAUAUAUUAUUUUUAAUAUAUUUUUCCAGUAUUUUACUUUGAGAAAACUAGAGUGUUUCAAACAGGCUUUUGCCUUGAAUACUACAGCAUGGAAUAAUGAAGUAGGACUAUUGGUUCUAUUUUGUUGGUUAUCGAACCAUAGUAAUGGUUAAUAGGAGCAGUUGGGGGCAUUCGUAUUUAACUGUCAGAGGUGAAAUUCUU
rnacentral:rRNA from 1 species